GAAAUGCGAUAAGUAGUGUGAAUUGCAGAAUUCAGUGAAUCAUCGAAUCUUUGAACGCACAUUGCGCCCCUUGGUAUUCCAUGGGGCAUGCCUGUUCGAGCGUCAUUUGUACCCUCAAGCUCUGCUUGGUGUUGGGUGUUUGUCCCCGUCUCCUCGCGUGGACUCGCCCCAAAGUGAUUGGCAGCCGGCGUACUGGUCCCGGAGCGCAGCACAUGUCGCGCAAACGAGUGCCUUGGUACGGCGGCGUCCAUAAGCCCCUCUCUCACGCUCUUGACCUCGGAUCAGGUAGGGAUACCCGCUGAACUUAAGC
rnacentral:misc_RNA from 1 species